UUCCGAGCAGCCUCCGGCCGCAGCCCACCCCUCAAAGUUUGCCGCACAAGUUGCCCGCCGCACAGUCAGGCGCUCACGGCGCCGGCCCCGAGGCAAGCGGCAGCGCCAGUCCCGCGCCCGCCCGAGCCUCUUGACAGCUCGCUCGCCGCCCCGGGCCGCCGCCGAGCCCGCCUCUGCUCUGCACCCCGGCUGCCCCUCGCUCCUCCUCUGCUCCCCGGGACCGGUGCUCCGCGGCCGGCCGCGCUCGGGGCCCCAGCACGGCACCGCUCCUCGCCUUCCCCGUCUGCGCCCCGUGCCCCCCCACCGGCCCGGCUUGUGAGUGACAGCUCGGACACCUGUUCCCCGUCCCCAGAGCCUCCAGCGCGGGCAGCCGCUCCCCCGGGAGUCCCGGCCCGUGCCCCCCACCCACCGCCACCCGGCCGACCGUCCCCCGCCCGCCGCUGCCCCGCCGUGCGCGGGGAAAGGGGGAAAGGGAACGGAGACGGAAGGGGGAAACUUCCUGGCUCCGGAUGGCAAAUCAGCUGCGCAUUCUGCAAAUACCACUGGGGUCUUGAACGCAGACUAAAUGUUCUUCCUUCUGUUUGGAAGUUUUCUGAUUUUGAAGUGCUGUGGAACUGGCCUAUUUAGGAGGAGCACUUGGGGGAAGUGUUUCUGCAGUGGUCCUGCUUAUCACCACAGAUCUCUUCUGCCUAUGCUCUCCUGCAUGUGGCGGGAGGAUCGGACGCCUUAUGAGCUGUGCCUCUGACAGCUUUGAGUCUCCUUCCAGACCACAGCUCACUCAAAGCCCAUUCAGCCCUCUGAUGUUCACUCCACGAGCCCCAGAGUGCACAGCUCCUCAGCCAGAUAGAACAGGAGGUAAUGACACCUUACACAGCCUGUUCUAGAUAGAAAGAAAAUAAUUUAGCAAAUUGCAAAUGAUGCAUACUUAACUAUUUAUGCAGCAUCUUCCUGUCAUCAACCCAAAGCAAUUUUACUUCCGUGUUGAACAGUGGAUGAAAAUGUUCUAUAGAUUUAACCAUUGCGGGAGUUCCUUUUAAGUGGUGCAGUAAUCUCUCUCCAGCUAAUUUAGUGUUGUAAUAAGGCACCACCCUCACAAAGUCCUUUGUGUUCUUGUGUCAAUACUGCCCCCAAACCAAAAGUGCUGGCAUCUGCAUCUGUCAGAAAAGUGGGUCUGAAACACAGACUAAGAAAGGAGCAACAUGGCCAUCAGUGGAGCAAUAUGGCCAUCAGCAGGGCGAUCUCAAAAGCCUUUUGCUAAUUCUGAAGAUACCGAAUUCCAUUCAGAUUUCCUCUGAAUUGCGAUUUACUUUUUCAACAAGCCCAUUAUAUGGUUUAACAGCACUGGAAAAUUCAAUAAUAAACCUCAAACAGAAGCUGACUGAGAUGUAUCU
rnacentral:lncRNA from 1 species